ACUACUUGUUCUCUCACUUUCUCUAUUUCAUCAAAAUCUUUCACUCCCUUCUAACACAUACAUUAGAAUUUAAGAGGUGAACAGAAGAUGUGUCUUGAAACCUCCAAAGAAAGCCUAUAUUAUCCUUCAUGUCUCACUCCACACCAAGAAAUCAAAAGGUCAAGCUUUGACUUUCAUUAUCUACAAAGGAAAAGAGUUAUUGGUAGGAAAAAUCCAAGAAACAAAACAAGGGUCUUGUUUGUGAUGUUGAGAAGAAAGAUGGCAAUGAAGAACUUGAAGUUGUACAUGCAAAAUCAAUGCAUUAUUGAAGAGAAUGAAAAGCUUAGAAGAAAAGCAUUUGCUCUUCAUCAAGAAAACCAAGUCUUGUUUUCUCAACUCCAAAAUGUCAACAUAUAAAAACAGCACAAUAUGCUAUGUAUUUUCAGAAUUCAAGUUAUAAUCUUUCCCAGAAUUAACUAUUUAAAUA